CCUACGGGCGGCAGCAGUGGGGAAUAUUGGACAAUGGGCGAAAGCCUGAUCCAGCCAUGCCGCGUGUGUGAAGAAGGCCUUCGGGUUGUAAAGCACUUUCAGUGGGGAAGAAAGCCUUGGGGCUAAUACCCUCGAGGAAGGACAUCACCCACAGAAGAAGCACCGGCUAACUCCGUGCCAGCAGCCGCGGUAAUACGGAGGGUGCGAGCGUUAAUCGGAAUUACUGGGCGUAAAGCGCGCGUAGGCGGUCUGAUAAGCCGGUUGUGAAAGCCCCGGGCUCAACCUGGGAACGGCAUCCGGAACUGUCAGGCUAGAGUGCAGGAGAGGAAGGUAGAAUUCCCGGUGUAGCGGUGAAAUGCGUAGAGAUCGGGAGGAAUACCAGUGGCGAAGGCGGCCUUCUGGACUGACACUGACGCUGAGGUGCGAAAGCGUGGGUAGCAAACAGGAUUAGAUUACCCCAGUAGUC
rnacentral:rRNA from 1 species